UAAGAAGGGGGCUAGCGUUGCUCGGAAUCACUGGGCGUAAAGCGCACGUAGGCGGCUUUCUAAGUCAGGGGUGAAAUCCUGGAGCUCAACUCCAGAACUGCCUUUGAUACUGGAGAGCUUGAGUCCGGAAGAGGUGAGUGGAACUCCGAGUGUAGAGGUGAAAUUCGUAGAUAUUCGGAAGAACACCAGUGGCGAAGGCGGCUCACUGGUCCGGUACUGACGCUGAGGUGCGAAAGCGUGGGGAGCAAACAGG
rnacentral:rRNA from 1 species